rnacentral:rRNA from 1 species
ACUCCUACGGGAGGCAGCAGUGGGGAAUAUUGCACAAUGGGCGCAAGCCUGAUGCAGCCAUGCCGCGUGUAUGAAGAAGGCCUUCGGGUUGUAAAGUACUUUCAGCAGUGAGGAAGGCGGUACGUUAAUAGUACGUGCUCGUUUGAUCGUUUAGCUGCAGAAGAAGCACCGGCGUAACUCCGUGCCAGCAGCCGCGGUAAUACGGAGGGUGCGAGCGUUAAUCGGAAUUACUGGGCGUAAAGCGCAUGCAGGUGGUUUGUUAAGUCAGAUGUGAAAGCCCGGGGCUCAACCUCGGAAUAUGACAUU